rnacentral:rRNA from 1 species
CGCGGCCUAUCAGCUUGUUGGUGGGGUAACGGCCUACCAAGGCGACGACGGGUAGCUGGUCUGAGAGGACGACCAGCCACACUGGAACUGAGAUACGGUCCAGACUCCUACGGGAGGCAGCAGUGGGGAAUCUUGCACAAUGGGCGAAAGCCUGAUGCAGCGACGCCGCGUGGGGGAUGAAUGCCUUCGGGUUGUAAACCCCUUUCGGCAGGGAAGAAGCGCAAGUGACGGUACCUGCAGAAGAAGCUCCGGCUAACUACGUGCCAGCAGCCGCGGUAAGACGUAGGGAGCGAGCGUUGUCCGGAUUCAUUGGGCGUAAAGCGCGCGUAGGCGGUUUGGCAAGUCGGAUGUGAAAUCCCGAGGCUCAACCUCGGGACUGCAUCCGAUACUGCCCGACUAGAGGUAGGUAGGGGAGAUCGGAAUUCCUGGUGUAGCGGUGAAAUGCGCAGAUAUCAGGAGGAACACCGGUGGCGAAGGCGGAUCUCUGGGCCUUACCUGACGCUGAGGCGCGAAAGCUAGGGGAGCGAACAGGAUUAGAUACCCUGGUAGUCCUAGCCGUAAACGUUGGGUGCUAGGUGUGGGCGGAUAUCGACCCCGUCCGUGCCGAAGCUAACGCAUUAAGCACCCCGCCUGGGGAGUACGG